AUACAGGGUGACAGCCCCGUACACAAAAAUGCACAUGCUGUGAGCUCGAUGAGUAGGGCGGGACACGUGGUAUCCUGUCUGAAUAUGGGGGGACCAUCCUCCAAGGCUAAAUACUCCUGACUGACCGAUAGUGAACCAGUACCGUGAGGGAAAGGCGAAAAGAACCCCGGCGAGGGGAGUGAAAAAGAACCUGAAACCGUGUACGUACAAGCAGUGGGAGCACGCUUAGGCGUGUGACUGCGUACCUUUUGUAUAAUGGGUCAGCGACUUAUAUUCUGUAGCAAGGUUAACCGAAUAGGGGAGCCGAAGGGAAACCGAGUCUUAACUGGGCGUUAAGUUGCAGGGUAUAGACCCGAAACCCGGUGAUCUAGCCAUGGGCAGGUUGAAGGUUGGGUAACACUAACUGGAGGACCGAACCGACUAAUGUUGAAAAAUUAGCGGAUGACUUGUGGCUGGGGGUGAAAGGCCAAUCAAACCGGGAGAUAGCUGGUUCUCCCCGAAAGCUAUUUAGGUAGCGCCUCGUGAAUUCAUCUCCGGGGGUAGAGCACUGUUUCGGCAAGGGGGUCAUCCCGACUUACCAACCCGAUGCAAACUGCGAAUACCGGAGAAUGUUAUCACGGGAGACACACGGCGGGUGCUAACGUCCGUCGUGAAGAGGGAAACAACCCAGACCGCCAGCUAAGGUCCCAAAGUCAUGGUUAAGUGGGAAACGAUGUGGGAAGGCCCAGACAGCCAGGAUGUUGGCUUAGAAGCAGCCAUCAUUUAAAGAAAGCGUAAUAGCUCACUGGUCGAGUCGGCCUGCGCGGAAGAUGUAACGGGGCUAAACCAUGCACCGAAGCUGCGGCAGCGACGCUUAUGCGUUGUUGGGUAGGGGAGCGUUCUGUAAGCCUGUGAAGGUGUACUGUGAGGUAUGCUGGAGGUAUCAGAAGUGCGAAUGCUGACAUAAGUAACGAUAAAGCGGGUGAAAAGCCCGCUCGCCGGAAGACCAAGGGUUCCUGUCCAACGUUAAUCGGGGCAGGGUGAGUCGACCCCUAAGGCGAGGCCGAAAGGCGUAGUCGAUGGGAAACAGGUUAAUAUUCCUGUACUUGGUGUUACUGCGAAGGGGGGACGGAGAAGGCUAUGUUGGCCGGGCGACGGUUGUCCCGGUUUAAGCGUGUAGGCUGGUUUUCCAGGCAAAUCCGGAAAAUCAAGGCUGAGGCGUGAUGACGAGGCACUACGGUGCUGAAGCAACAAAUGCCCUGCUUCCAGGAAAAGCCUCUAAGCAUCAGGUAACAUCAAAUCGUACCCCAAACCGACACAGGUGGUCAGGUAGAGAAUACCAAGGCGCUUGAGAGAACUCGGGUGAAGGAACUAGGCAAAAUGGUGCCGUAACUUCGGGAGAAGGCACGCUGAUAUGUAGGUGAAGCGACUUGCUCGUGGAGCUGAAAUCAGUCGAAGAUACCAGCUGGCUGCAACUGUUUAUUAAAAACACAGCACUGUGCAAACACGAAAGUGGACGUAUACGGUGUGACGCCUGCCCGGUGC
rnacentral:rRNA from 1 species